CGCGUAGGCGGAGGACCAAGUCCGGGGUGAAAUCUUUCGGCUCAACCGGAAAACUGCCUUGGAUACUGGUCUUCUUGAGGGAGGUAGGGGCAGGUGGAACUUCCGGUGGAGCGGUGAAAUGCGUUGAUAUCGGAAGGAACGCCGGUGGCGAAAGCGGCCUGCUGGAUCUCUUCUGACGCUGAGGCGCGAAAGCUAGGGUAAGGCGAACG
rnacentral:rRNA from 1 species